GGUCCGUUAUCUCAAUUAGUGGAGCGUGUGACUCUUAAUUAGUUUGUUGAAGGUUCAAGUCCUUCGUGGAUCA
rnacentral:tRNA from 1 species